CGCUGGCGGCGUGCCUAAUACAUGCAAGUCGAGCGAACGGAUAAGGAGCUUGCUCCUUUGAAGUUAGCGGCGGACGGGUGAGUAACACGUGGGUAACCUACCUAUAAGACUGGAAUAACUUCGGGAAACCGGAGCUAAUGCCGGAUAACAUUUGGAACCGCAUGGUUCUAAAGUAAAAGAUGGUUUUGCUAUCACUUAUAGAUGGACCCGCGCCGUAUUAGCUAGUUGGUAAGGUAACGGCUUACCAAGGCAACGAUACGUAGCCGACCUGAGAGGGUGAUCGGCCACACUGGAACUGAGACACGGUCCAGACUCCUACGGGAGGCAGCAGUAGGGAAUCUUCCGCAAUGGACGAAAGUCUGACGGAGCAACGCCGCGUGAGUGAUGAAGGUUUUCGGAUCGUAAAACUCUGUUAUUAGGGAAGAACAAAUGUGUAAGUAACUGUGCACAUCUUGACGGUACCUAAUCAGAAAGCCACGGCUAACUACGUGCCAGCAGCCGCGGUAAUACGUAGGUGGCAAGCGUUAUCCGGAAUUAUUGGGCGUAAAGCGCGCGUAGGCGGUUUCUUAAGUCUGAUGUGAAAGCCCACGGCUCAACCGUGGAGGGUCAUUGGAAACUGGGAAACUUGAGUACAGAAGAGGAAAGUGGAAUUCCAUGUGUAGCGGUGAAAUGCGCAGAGAUAUGGAGGAACACCAGUGGCGAAGGCGACUUUCUGGUCUGUAACUGACGCUGAUGUGCGAAAGCGUGGGGAUCAAACAGGAUUAGAUACCCUGGUAGUCC
rnacentral:rRNA from 1 species